AUUGAUUUAAAAAUUGUUAUAAAAAGCGACAUGAAAUUAUUUAAAUCAUCAGUUUUAUUUGUGAUGUCUUGAACGCAACGAGAUUUUCAAGUGGAAUUACACUAAGGUAUCUGUCAAUCUUUUAGGACUUUUCUUAAUUUUUUGUGAUGAGUCAUUCAAGUUCACUGAUGACAAGGCAUAUUCUUUUUGAAUGACAAUAAACUUCAAGAUGUUAAAACUUUAGAUGCUGUGAUGUCAUUUAGAAUUUUCUAAAUGUUGGAUUUUUUUAAAGAAAGAAUAGAGAUUUGAGACUGCACUACAUCAUCCAGGCUGAUUAAAAAAUAUACACAGAUGUUUUUAAUGGAGUCAAACACAUCAUUUUAAUCAACAAAAUGAUAUUCAAAAAUAUCUUGACGUUUUCAAUCAUAUGCUGAUAAAAAAAUUAAUUAUUUAUUCAUAAUUAAACUCCAAUAUGUUUCUCCUGAUGACUAUUGAUAAAUAAAAUUUAUAUUUAAAAUUAAUUAACAAGAAUUUCAUCAAAAUAAAAUAAAUAAAUAUUCUCAAAUAUU